UACGUAGGGGGCGAGCGUUGUCCGGAAUUAUUGGGCGUAAAGAGCGUGUAGGCGGUUCGGUAAGUCUGCCGUGAAAACCCAGGGCUCAACCCUGGGCGUGCGGUGGAUACUGCCGGGCUAGAGGGUGGUAGAGGCGAGUGGAAUUCCCGGUGUAGCGGUGAAAUGCGUAGAUAUCUGGAGGAACACCGGUGGCGAAGGCGGCAUCCUGGACCGGCAUUGACGCUGAACAGCGAAAGCCAGGGGAGCAAACGGG
rnacentral:rRNA from 1 species